rnacentral:miRNA from 1 species
CAUACUUCUGGACAUACCAUA